rnacentral:rRNA from 1 species
GGUUAAGCGACUAAGCGUACACGGUGGAUGCCCUGGCAGUCAGAGGCGAUGAAGGACGUGCUAAUCUGCGAUAAGCGUCGGUAAGGUGAUAUGAACCGUUAUAACCGGCGAUUUCCGAAUGGGGAAACCCAGUGUGUUUCGACACACUAUCAUUAACUGAAUCCAUAGGUUAAUGAGGCGAACCGGGGGAACUGAAACAUCUAAGUACCCCGAGGAAAAGAAAUCAACCGAGAUUCCCCCAGUAGCGGCGAGCGAACGGGGAGCAGCCCAGAGCCUGAAUCAGUGUGUGUGUUAGUGGAAGCGUCUGGAAAGGCGCGCGAUACAGGGUGACAGCCCCGUACACAAAAAUGCACAUGCUGUGAGCUCGAUGAGUAGGGCGGGACACGUGGUAUCCUGUCUGAAUAUGGGGGGACCAUCCUCCAAGGCUAAAUACUCCUGACUGACCGAUAGUGAACCAGUACCGUGAGGGAAAGGCGAAAAGAACCCCGGCGAGGGGAGUGAAAAAGAACCUGAAACCGUGUACGUACAAGCAGUGGGAGCACGCUUAGGCGUGUGACUGCGUACCUUUUGUAUAAUGGGUCAGCGACUUAUAUUCUGUAGCAAGGUUAACCGAAUAGGGGAGCCGAAGGGAAACCGAGUCUUAACUGGGCGUUAAGUUGCAGGGUAUAGACCCGAAACCCGGUGAUCUAGCCAUGGGCAGGUUGAAGGUUGGGUAACACUAACUGGAGGACCGAACCGACUAAUGUUGAAAAAUUAGCGGAUGACUUGUGGCUGGGGGUGAAAGGCCAAUCAAACCGGGAGAUAGCUGGUUCUCCCCGAAAGCUAUUUAGGUAGCGCCUCGUGAAUUCAUCUCCGGGGGUAGAGCACUGUUUCGGCAAGGGGGUCAUCCCGACUUACCAACCCGAUGCAAACUGCGAAUACCGGAGAAUGUUAUCACGGGAGACACACGGCGGGUGCUAACGUCCGUCGUGAAGAGGGAAACAACCCAGACCGCCAGCUAAGGUCCCAAAGUCAUGGUUAAGUGGGAAACGAUGUGGGAAGGCCCAGACAGCCAGGAUGUUGGCUUAGAAGCAGCCAUCAUUUAAAGAAAGCGUAAUAGCUCACUGGUCGAGUCGGCCUGCGCGGAAGAUGUAACGGGGCUAAACCAUGCACCGAAGCUGCGGCAGCGACGCUUAUGCGUUGUUGGGUAGGGGAGCGUUCUGUAAGCCUGCGAAGGUGUGCUGUGAGGCAUGCUGGAGGUAUCAGAAGUGCGAAUGCUGACAUAAGUAACGAUAAAGCGGGUGAAAAGCCCGCUCGCCGGAAGACCAAGGGUUCCUGUCCAACGUUAAUCGGGGCAGGGUGAGUCGAUCCCUAAGGCGAGGCCGAAAGGCGUAGUCGAUGGGAAACAGGUUAAUAUUCCUGUACUUGGUGUUACUGCGAAGGGGGGACGGAGAAGGCUAUGUUGGCCGGGCGACGGUUGUUCCGGUUUAAGCGUGUAGGCUGGUUUUCCAGGCAAAUCCGGAAAAUCAAGGCUGAGGCGUGAUGACGAGGCACUACGGUGCUGAAGCAACAAAUGCCCUGCUUCCAGGAAAAGCCUCUAAGCAUCAGGUAACAUCAAAUCGUACCCCAAACCGACACAGGUGGUCAGGUAGAGAAUACCAAGGCGCUUGAGAGAACUCGGGUGAAGGAACUAGGCAAAAUGGUGCCGUAACUUCGGGAGAAGGCACGCUGAUAUGUAGGUGAGGUCCCUCGCGGAUGGAGCUGAAAUCAGUCGAAGAUACCAGCUGGCUGCAACUGUUUAUUAAAAACACAGCACUGUGCAAACACGAAAGUGGACGUAUACGGUGUGACGCCUGCCCGGUGCCGGAAGGUUAAUUGAUGGGGUUAGCGCAAGCGAAGCUCUUGAUCGAAGCCCCGGUAAACGGCGGCCGUAACUAUAACGGUCCUAAGGUAGCGAAAUUCCUUGUCGGGUAAGUUCCGACCUGCACGAAUGGCGUAAUGAUGGCCAGGCUGUCUCCACCCGAGACUCAGUGAAAUUGAACUCGCUGUGAAGAUGCAGUGUACCCGCGGCAAGACGGAAAGACCCGUGAACCUUUACUAUAGCUUGACACUGAACAUUGAGCCUUGAUGUGUAGGAUAGGUGGGAGGCUUUGAAGUGUGGACGCCAGUCUGCAUGGAGCCGACCUUGAAAUACCACCCUUUAAUGUUUGAUGUUCUAACGUUGACCCGUAAUCCGGGUUGCGGACAGUGUCUGGUGGGUAGUUUGACUGGGGCGGUCUCCUCCUAAAGAGUAACGGAGGAGCACGAAGGUUGGCUAAUCCUGGUCGGACAUCAGGAGGUUAGUGCAAUGGCAUAAGCCAGCUUGACUGCGAGCGUGACGGCGCGAGCAGGUGCGAAAGCAGGUCAUAGUGAUCCGGUGGUUCUGAAUGGAAGGGCCAUCGCUCAACGGAUAAAAGGUACUCCGGGGAUAACAGGCUGAUACCGCCCAAGAGUUCAUAUCGACGGCGGUGUUUGGCACCUCGAUGUCGGCUCAUCACAUCCUGGGGCUGAAGUAGGUCCCAAGGGUAUGGCUGUUCGCCAUUUAAAGUGGUACGCGAGCUGGGUUUAGAACGUCGUGAGACAGUUCGGUCCCUAUCUGCCGUGGGCGCUGGAGAACUGAGGGGGGCUGCUCCUAGUACGAGAGGACCGGAGUGGACGCAUCACUGGUGUUCGGGUUGUCAUGCCAAUGGCACUGCCCGGUAGCUAAAUGCGGAAGAGAUAAGUGCUGAAAGCAUCUAAGCACGAAACUUGCCCCGAGAUGAGUUCUCCCUGACCCUUUAAGGGUCCUGAAGGAACGUUGAAGACGACGACGUUGAUAGGCCGGGUGUGUAAGCGCAGCGAUGCGUUGAGCUAACCGGUACUAAUGAACCGUGAGGCUUAACCUU